UCCAGCUACAGGUUCAUACUGUUGUAUUCUUUUAUACUGUUAUAUUCGUACCGUUUUAAAUCAUUCAGUAAAUGCAAAGUAAAACGAUCAUACUGUUGUAUUCUUUUAUACUGUUUUAUUCGUACUGUUUUAAAUCAUUCAGUAAAUGCAAAGUUAAACCGAUGUGUUUUUAAUCUAGAUUUAAAAGUGUCUUCUGUUGAAACACAUCUGAUCUCUUUUGAAAGCUGAUUCCAGCUACAGGUUCAUACUGUUGUAUUCUUUUAUACUGUGAUAUUCGUACCGUUUUAAAUCAUUCAGUAAAUGCAAAGUUAAACCGAUAAUACUGUUGUAUUUUUUAUACUGUUUUAUUCGUACUGUUUUAAAUCAUUCAGUAAAUGCAAAGUUAAACCGAUGUGUUUUUAAUCUAGAUCUAAAAGUGUCUUCUGUUGAAACACAUCUGAUCUCUUCUGAAAGCUGAUUCCAGGUACAGGUUAAUACUGUUGUAUUCUUUUAUACAGUUUUAUUCGUACUUUUUUAAAUCAUUCAGUAAAUGCAAAGUUAAACCGAUCAUACUGUUGUAUUCUUUUAUACUGUUUUAUUCGUACUGUUUUAUAUUCUUCAGUAAAUGCAAAGUUAAACCGAUGUGUCUUCAAUCUAGGUUUAAAAGUGCCCACUGUUGGAACACAUCUGAUCUCAUUUGAAAGCUGAUUCCAGCUACAGAUCUAAAAGUGUCUUCUGUUGAAACACAUCUGAUCUCUUCUGAAAGCUGAUUCCAGCUACAGGUUUAAAAGUGCCCACUGUUGAAACACAUCUGAUCUCAUCUGAAAGCUGAUUCCAGCUACAGAUUUUAAAGUGCCUACUGUGGAAACACGUCUGAUCUCAUCUGAAAGCUGAUUCCAGCUACAGGUUUAAACGUGCCCACUGUGGAAACACAUCUGAUCUCAUUUGAAAGCUGAUUCCAGCUACAGAUCUAAAAGUGUCUUCUGUUGAAACACAUCUGAUCUCUUCUGAAAGCUGAUUCCAGCUACAGGUUCAUACUGUUGUAUUCUUUUAUACUGUUUUAUUCGUACUGUUUUAAAUCAUUCAGUAAAUGCAAAGUUAAACCGCUCAUACUGUUGUAUUCUUUUAUACUGUUUUAUUCGUACUGUUUUAUAUUCUUCAGUAAAUGCAAAGUUAAACCGAUGUGUCUUUAAUCUAGGUUUAAAAGUGCCCACUGUUGAAACACAUCUGAUCUCAUUUGGAAGCUGAUUCCAGCUACAGGUUCAUACUGUUGUAUUCUUUUAUACUGUGAUAUUCGUACCGUUUAAAUCAUUCAGUAAAUGCAAAG